rnacentral:rRNA from 1 species
UGCGUAGGCGGACUAAUAAGUCAGUGGUGAAAUCUCUCGGCUCAACCGGGAAACUGCCAUUGAUACUGUUAGUCUUGAGUUCGGUUGAGGUAGGCGGAAUGUGUAAUGUAGCGGUGAAAUGCUUAGAUAUUACACAGAACACCAAUUGCGUAGGCAGCUUACUAGACCGACACUGACGCUGAGGCACGAAAGCGUGGGUAGCGAACAGGAUUAGAUACCCGGUAGUCC